rnacentral:lncRNA from 1 species
GCAGUGUUCAAAGUAUUUAGCACAUUCUGAACAGAUCUGGAGCGGGUUUCUUCCAGAGAGCUUUGAGAAUCCCCUCCCUCCUCUUCCAAGUCCCCACCUCUCUCCUGAACAGAUUAUUGAGGAGUUAAAGGAGCUUGCAUUGGUCCCUGUGUCGUCUCUAUGAGGCUUAGAGUUCCAGAGGAAACAGAUGGGAUAAGAAAACCAGGGGAUCUAAUUACAGAGGCUUAUUUAGCAAUCCAAGCCUCAAGCCGCUGCUCCUCGCAGUUUCUCUUUCAGAGGUAUUCGUCUCAAAGCCUUGAGACAGCUACGGUUGUUUAACAUGGAGAACGAGGAAGAGGAAGAUGAAAUCUUUACCACAUUUCAGGGAGGAUAUGAAGGGCAGGAAGAUGUGGAGGAGCAGGAGGAAGAAGAACAAAAGGAAGAGGAGCCAGAGGCUGAGAGGAAGAGCAGUUGGGAUGUCCCAAUUCCAAGUCGAUCAUUGGCCAGUCGCAGAGCUUCACUUCCAUGUCCGGCUCAGCUGAAUGCGAUGCAUCUGAGCCGUCUACACGCUGCCACCACGAGCCCUAGCCCGGCGUACCUGAGCCACUAGCUUCAGAGCGGUGAGGCGAGGCCGUGCUCUCGCUCCAGCCAUGUUACCAAUAGCGAGGAGGGAGCACACACCAAGAGCAGCGCAUGUGAACGACGCCCACAUGCCAUCCCAACCAUCCCUGAGCUGCAUGAGCCUCUGGAGAGAAAAGCUUGGUUUAGGAGCCGCAAUGUCAUGUCUCUGGUUGGUGUGAUAUGAUUUUUUUUUUAUGUGUAAAAAUGUGAAUGAUUACCAAUAGGUU